rnacentral:rRNA from 1 species
CUGACGAAUAUUAGACAAUGGCCGAAAGCCUGAUCCAGCCAUGCCGCGUGAGUGACGAAAAGGCCCUCCGUCGUCACCCCUUAUAACCAGUUACCCACGUUCGCAAUAGAUCGGUAUGCCGCAACCAUUCUAGAAGCCGUAACAUUUCGUCAAAUUCGACCCUCCUUCCCGUCAUUCAAGGGGUUAUGGAACCUAGCCAUGGCGUCGGAGCAUAGCAUCGAGC